AGAAUUAGGUGAAAAACAGAUAUGAAGGAAGAUGCAUUGUCCCCAAAUCACUAUUUUAUAUUUUGCAAAAUCUACUUCAAGUUUUUGCUUUUAUUUUUAUUUCAAAGAUUGUGUGAGUGUGUGUGUGUGUGUGUGUGUGUGUGUGCAUGCUCUGAUAAAUGUAGAUGAUAACUGCAUACAUAAUCGUCUCUUGGAAUCAUCUGCUCUUCUA
rnacentral:sRNA from 1 species